rnacentral:rRNA from 1 species
AUACGUAGGUGGCAAGCGUUGUCCGGAAUUAUUGGGCGUAAAGCGCGCGCAGGCGGUCCUUUAAGUCUGAUGUGAAAGCCCACGGCUCAACCGUGGAGGGUCAUUGGAAACUGGGGGACUUGAGUGCAGAAGAGGAAAGUGGAAUUCCAAGUGUAGCGGUGAAAUGCGUAGAGAUUUGGAGGAACACCAGUGGCGAAGGCGACUUUCUGGUCUGUAACUGACGCUGAGGCGCGAAAGCGUGGGGAGCAAACAGGAUUAGAUACCCUGGUAGUCCACGCCGUAAACGAUGAGUGCUAAGCGUUAGGGGGUUUCCGCCCCUUAGUGCUGCAGCUAACGCAUUAAGCACUCCGCCUGGGGAGUACGGUCGCAAGACUGAAACUCAAAUGAAUUGACGGGG